GGCGGGACUACCCGCUGAGUUUAAGCAUAUAAAUAAGCGGAGGAGAAGAAACUUAGAAGGAUUCCCCUAGUAACGGCGAGCGAACCGGGAGCAGCCCAGCUUGAGAAACGGGCGGCUGUGCCGUCCGAAUUGUAGUCUGGAGAGGCGUCCUCAGCGACGGACCGGGCCCAAGUCCCCUGGAAACGGGCGCCUGGGAGGGUGAGAGCCCCGUCCGGCCCGGACCCUGUCGCCCCACGAGGCGCCGUCAACGAGUCGGGUUGUUUGGGAAUGCAGCCCAAAUCGGGCGGUAGACUCCGUCCAAGGCUAAAUACAGGCGAGAGACCGAUAGCAAACAAGUACCGCGAGGGAAAGAUGAAAAGGACUUUGAAAAGAGAGUCAAAGAGUGCUUGAAAUUGCCGGGAGGGAAGCGGAUGGGGGCCGGCGAUGCGCCCCGGCCGUAUGCGGAACGGCUCUUGCUGGUCCGCCGCUCGGCUCGGGGUGUGGACUGUUGUCGGCCGCGCCGGCGGCCAAAGCCCGGGGGCCUUAGGUGCCCCCGGUGGCCGUCGUCGGCACGGC
rnacentral:rRNA from 1 species